rnacentral:rRNA from 1 species
AACGAACGCUGGCGGCAGGCCUAACACAUGCAAGUCGAGCGAGGACUUCGGUUCUAGCGGCGGACGGGUGAGUAACGCGUGGGAAUGUGCCCUUCUCUACGGAAUAGCCCUUGGAAACUAGGAGUAAUACCGUAUACGCCCUAUUGGGGAAAGAUUCAUCGGAGGAGGAUCAGCCCGCGUUGGAUUAGGUAGGUGGUGGGGUAAUGGCCUACCAAGCCGACGAUCCAUAGCUGGUUUGAGAGGAUGAUCAGCCACACUGGGACUGAGACACGGCCCAGACUCCUACGGGAGGCAGCAGUGGGGAAUCUUAGACAAUGGGGGCAACCCUGAUCUAGCCAUGCCGCGUGAGUGAUGAAGGCCUUAGGGUUGUAAAGCUCUUUCAGCUGGGAAGAUAAUGACGGUACCAACAGAAGAAGCACCGGCUAACUCCGUG